CACGUAGGGGGCAAGCGUUGUCCGGAUUUAUUGGGCGUAAAGAGCUCGUAGGCGGCUCAGUAAGUCAGGUGUGAAACCUCCAGGCUCAACCUGGAGACGCCACCUGAUACUGCUGUGGCUAGAGUCCGGUAGGGGAGCGUGGAAUUCCUGGUGUAGCGGUGAAAUGCGCAGAUAUCAGGAGGAACACCAGUGGCGAAGGCGGUGCUCUGGGCCGGAACUGACGCUGAGGAGCGAAAGCGUGGGGAGCAAACAGG
rnacentral:rRNA from 1 species